UAGGCUAUUUGGAUUUGAUCUUGUUGAACUUGCUUAUACAUAAACUCAGAAAAUUGAUGUGCAGUUGGGUAUUUACUCACAAAGUGAAUAAGGCUCGAACAUAUUGCGCAAACUUAUUGUGCAGAAAGAAAAGAUGGAGAAGGAGGGUGUCCGAUAGCCAGUAGACUAUCUAAUUUAUGAGACAACUCAUCCACUCUAAUGUAAAGAUCUAUAUUCUUAGCACGGAUCUAA
rnacentral:lncRNA from 1 species